ACGGAAGGCAGCAGUGGGGAAUAUUGCACAAUGGGGGAAACCCUGAUGCAGCGACGCCGCGUGAAGGAAGAAGUAUCUCGGUAUGUAAACUUCUAUCAGCAGGGAAGAUAGUGACGGUACCUGACUAAGAAGCCCCGGCUAACUACGUGCCAGCAGCCGCGGUAAUACGUAGGGGGCAAGCGUUAUCCGGAUUUACUGGGUGUAAAGGGAGCGCAGACGGCAUGGCAAGCCAGAUGUGAAAGGCAGGGGCUCAACUCCUGGACUGCAUUUGGAACUGUCAAGCUAGAGUAUCGGAGAGGUAAGUGGAAUUCCUAGUGUAGCGGUGAAAUGCGUAGAUAUUAGGAGGAACACCAGUGGCGAAGGCGGCUUACUGGACGAUAACUGACGUUGAGGCUCGAAAGCGUGGGGAGCAAACAGGAUUAGAUACCCUGGUA
rnacentral:rRNA from 1 species